rnacentral:lncRNA from 1 species
ACGGAUCUGAGCCCCACGGGGACCCCAUGGAUCUGAGCCCCACGGAUCCGAGCCCCACACAGGGACCCCACGGAUCUGAGCCCCACGGGGACCCCACGGAUCUGAGCCCCACGGGGACCCCACGGAUCUGAGCCCCACGGGGACCCCACGGAUCUGAGCCCCACGGAUCCGAGCCCCACAGGGACCCCAUGGAUCUGAGCCCUACGGGGACCCCACAGCCCCAGGACCCACACACGGAGCCCACAGCCCUGGGACCCACGGGGACCCCACAGAUUUGAGCCCCACGGCCCUGAGCCCCACAGGGACCCCACAUCUCUAGGACCCGGACAGGGACCCCACAGCCCCAGGACCCACACAGGGACCCUGCACCCCUGAGCCCCACACAUGGACCCCACAGCCCUGGGACCCACACGUGGACCCUGGAUCCCUGAGCCCCACGGGGAGCCCAGAUCCCAGGGACCCACACAGGGAUCCUGCAUCCCUGAGCCCCACACAGGGACCCCACACAGGGACCCCACAUCCCUGGGACCCACGCAGGGACCCCCACAGAUCUGAGCCCCACACAGGGAACCCGGAUCCCUAGGACCCACAGGGAACCCGGAUCCCUAGGACCCACGCAGGGACCCCACAGAUCUGAGCCCCACACAGGGAACCUGGAUCCUUAGGACCCACACAGGGAGCCCCACAUCCCCGAGCCCCCAUCCCACCGCUGGCUGAAAUCCCACAUCCAACCCCAGGCAACACCUGCAGGCGCCCAGCCCGGACCCGGCUGAAAAUCCCACUGCUUUGGGGCAGCCUACAAGGAAAC